GCCGUAAGAAGGAAAAUCAGGGAAUUCGAUGCACCUGUGCCUAGUUAGGGACAGCGGUUGGUGAUUGGAGGAUACGCUGGACAAGGCAGUACUUAAGGCCAAGUUAUUUCACAGUCUGGGCGCUCUUUCUGGCUGGAAUUGUAUGAUUGUGAAGACAUCGCGAACCUUAAAGGUUGAGAAGUGAACGGAUUAUACGGCGAACUGAGACGACGUGAAAAAGGGGAUUGGAAGCGGCAUUGAUUUGUUCUGCUGUUUGGCUGUUCUCAGAGCUCUGAAACAGUCAGGACCAGGAGAGAGAGGGAGAGAGAAAGUAGAAGAAAACCACAUGAAGAGAAGAGCGUUUUAUCUCAUUCUAAUGACUACUGUAAACACGGUUAUUACAUAUGCUCCAUUAACUAUAACUGCAUUGAUAUUUAUUGUGACACAGCACUUACCUCAGAUUCUCUGGUCAGUUGGUAGUAUUUGUUUUAUGCUGGCUGGAUUUUUA
ensembl:lncRNA